UUAAGCGACUAAGCGUACACGGUGGAUGCCCUGGCAGUCAGAGGCGAUGAAGGACGUGCUAAUCUGCGAUAAGCGUCGGUAAGGUGAUAUGAACCGUUAUAACCGGCGAUUUCCGAAUGGGGAAACCCAGUGUGAUUCGUCACACUAUCAUUAACUGAAUCCAUAGGUUAAUGAGGCGAACCGGGGGAACUGAAACAUCUAAGUACCCCGAGGAAAAGAAAUCAACCGAGAUUCCCCCAGUAGCGGCGAGCGAACGGGGAGCAGCCCAGAGCCUGAAUCAGUGUGUGUGUUAGUGGAAGCGUCUGGAAAGGCGCGCGAUACAGGGUGACAGCCCCGUACACAAAAAUGCACAUGCUGUGAGCUCGAUGAGUAGGGCGGGACACGUGGUAUCCUGUCUGAAUAUGGGGGGACCAUCCUCCAAGGCUAAAUACUCCUGACUGACCGAUAGUGAACCAGUACCGUGAGGGAAAGGCGAAAAGAACCCCGGCGAGGGGAGUGAAAAAGAACCUGAAACCGUGUACGUACAAGCAGUGGGAGCACAGAGCAAUCUGUGUGACUGCGUACCUUUUGUAUAAUGGGUCAGCGACUUAUAUUCUGUAGCAAGGUUAACCGAAUAGGGGAGCCGAAGGGAAACCGAGUCUUAACUGGGCGUUAAGUUGCAGGGUAUAGACCCGAAACCCGGUGAUCUAGCCAUGGGCAGGUUGAAGGUUGGGUAACACUAACUGGAGGACCGAACCGACUAAUGUUGAAAAAUUAGCGGAUGACUUGUGGCUGGGGGUGAAAGGCCAAUCAAACCGGGAGAUAGCUGGUUCUCCCCGAAAGCUAUUUAGGUAGCGCCUCGUGAAUUCAUCUCCGGGGGUAGAGCACUGUUUCGGCAAGGGGGUCAUCCCGACUUACCAACCCGAUGCAAACUGCGAAUACCGGAGAAUGUUAUCACGGGAGACACACGGCGGGUGCUAACGUCCGUCGUGAAGAGGGAAACAACCCAGACCGCCAGCUAAGGUCCCAAAGUCAUGGUUAAGUGGGAAACGAUGUGGGAAGGCCCAGACAGCCAGGAUGUUGGCUUAGAAGCAGCCAUCAUUUAAAGAAAGCGUAAUAGCUCACUGGUCGAGUCGGCCUGCGCGGAAGAUGUAACGGGGCUAAACCAUGCACCGAAGCUGCGGCAGCGACGCUUAUGCGUUGUUGGGUAGGGGAGCGUUCUGUAAGCCUGCGAAGGUGUGCUGUGAGGCAUGCUGGAGGUAUCAGAAGUGCGAAUGCUGACAUAAGUAACGAUAAAGCGGGUGAAAAGCCCGCUCGCCGGAAGACCAAGGGUUCCUGUCCAACGUUAAUCGGGGCAGGGUGAGUCGACCCCUAAGGCGAGGCCGAAAGGCGUAGUCGAUGGGAAACAGGUUAAUAUUCCUGUACUUGGUGUUACUGCGAAGGGGGGACGGAGAAGGCUAUGUUGGCCGGGCGACGGUUGUCCCGGUUUAAGCGUGUAGGCUGGUUUUCCAGGCAAAUCCGGAAAACUAAGGCUGAGGCGUGAUGACGAGGCACUACGGUGCUGAAGCAACAAAUGCCCUGCUUCCAGGAAAAGCCUCUAAGCAUCAGGUAACAUCAAAUCGUACCCCAAACCGACACAGGUGGUCAGGUAGAGAAUACCAAGGCGCUUGAGAGAACUCGGGUGAAGGAACUAGGCAAAAUGGUGCCGUAACUUCGGGAGAAGGCACGCUGAUAUGUAGGUGAAGUCCCUCGCGGAUGGAGCUGAAAUCAGUCGAAGAUACCAGCUGGCUGCAACUGUUUAUUAAAAACACAGCACUGUGCAAACACGAAAGUGGACGUAUACGGUGUGACGCCUGCCCGGUGCCGGAAGGUUAAUUGAUGGGGUUAGCGGUAACGCGAAGCUCUUGAUCGAAGCCCCGGUAAACGGCGGCCGUAACUAUAACGGUCCUAAGGUAGCGAAAUUCCUUGUCGGGUAAGUUCCGACCUGCACGAAUGGCGUAAUGAUGGCCAGGCUGUCUCCACCCGAGACUCAGUGAAAUUGAACUCGCUGUGAAGAUGCAGUGUACCCGCGGCAAGACGGAAAGACCCCGUGAACCUUUACUAUAGCUUGACACUGAACAUUGAGCCUUGAUGUGUAGGAUAGGUGGGAGGCUUAGAAGUGUGGACGCCAGUCUGCAUGGAGCCGACCUUGAAAUACCACCCUUUAAUGUUUGAUGUUCUAACGUGGACCCGUGAUCCGGGUUGCGGACAGUGUCUGGUGGGUAGUUUGACUGGGGCGGUCUCCUCCUAAAGAGUAACGGAGGAGCACGAAGGUUGGCUAAUCCUGGUCGGACAUCAGGAGGUUAGUGCAAUGGCAUAAGCCAGCUUGACUGCGAGCGUGACGGCGCGAGCAGGUGCGAAAGCAGGUCAUAGUGAUCCGGUGGUUCUGAAUGGAAGGGCCAUCGCUCAACGGAUAAAAGGUACUCCGGGGAUAACAGGCUGAUACCGCCCAAGAGUUCAUAUCGACGGCGGUGUUUGGCACCUCGAUGUCGGCUCAUCACAUCCUGGGGCUGAAGUAGGUCCCAAGGGUAUGGCUGUUCGCCAUUUAAAGUGGUACGCGAGCUGGGUUUAGAACGUCGUGAGACAGUUCGGUCCCUAUCUGCCGUGGGCGCUGGAGAACUGAGGGGGGCUGCUCCUAGUACGAGAGGACCGGAGUGGACGCAUCACUGGUGUUCGGGUUGUCAUGCCAAUGGCACUGCCCGGUAGCUAAAUGCGGAAGAGAUAAGUGCUGAAAGCAUCUAAGCACGAAACUUGCCCCGAGAUGAGUUCUCCCUGACUCCUUGAGAGUCCUGAAGGAACGUUGAAGACGACGACGUUGAUAGGCCGGGUGUGUAAGCGCAGCGAUGCGUUGAGCUAACCGGUACUAAUGAACCGUGAGGCUUAACCU
rnacentral:rRNA from 1 species